AGUAACGCGUGGAUAACCUGCCUCACACUGGGGGAUAACAGUUAGAAAUGACUGCUAAUACCGCAUGAGCGCACAGUACCGCAUGGUACGGUGUGAAAAACUCCGGUGGUGUGAGAUGGAUCCGCGUCUGAUUAGCCAGUUGGCAGGGUAACGGCCCACCAAAGCGACGAUCAGUAGCCGACCUGAGAGGGUGACCGGCCACAUUGGGACUGAGACACGGCCCAA
rnacentral:rRNA from 1 species